GAUGUGGCGGGCCGUAUCUGGCCCCCAGGCCGUGAGUUUGACACCUGUGCAUUAAACAAGUCACGUCAGUACAAAUAAUUCACAGCCAGGAAGACAGCGACGUGUGGAUGACACCAUGCAGUUGAGGCCUUGGCUUGUCAAGUCCUAUGCUAAAGGCUAGCUAGUGUUGUCAAAAGCAAAAAAGCUAAGUUAGCAUGUCAUCUUAGCAUGUAGCAGAGAACGAAGGACACUUGGAGAUAAAACCGGUAGAGGUGCCAGAGGGAG